UAUUUCGCUAUCGGGAGAGGUUGAACUUUCAAACGGCACUGCGAGAGUCCGAAAGCAAACAGAAAUUGGGGGAUUUUGCUAAAAUAUAGGUCGAUUUCUUGGAAGAUUUCUCUCUGCCACGAUUUCUCUUUGCAGCGUAUGGUUAGGUGUUCAAAAAUUAGGUUCGUUGCUUGGCAUUGCUUGAACUUUCCAACGGCGGGCUCAUUUUGUAAGCAAACAAGAAGUCAAAAUCUUGUUUGAUUUGAAGAGAUAACAGACGAAGCGAAAGGAAUUUCGGAAGAGGUGGAUGACGAUAUCUUGUUAGAAUUAGAUAACGACAAGAUGUUGGAAAGUGUGAAUUUAGUGGAUGAUGAAAUUGGAGGAGAAGAUGGUAUGAUUGUGCUCGAGGUUGGUAUGAAGUUUAAUGAUGAGAAAGAAAUGUUUGAUUUUUACAAAAGAUAUGCGUACAAUGUAGGCUUUCCGGUUAGGAAAAGAAAUUCGCAAAAAGAUGAUGUUGGAAUUGUGAGAUAUAUUGUGUUUACAUGUAGUCAUGAAGGUCGAAGAAAUAGUAACACAAGUAGUUCUAUGAAGCCGCAAGCUACCAUUCAGGCAUGUUGUAAAGCUAGUCUAACUGCAUCUGUAGAUGCAUGCGGAAUAUGGAGAAUUAAUACAGUCAAUCUCAUUCACAAUCAUAGAACUAGCAUGUUGAAGUCCAGGUUGUAUCGUUGCAAUCGAGAAUUGAGUGCCCAUGUCAAACGACAGCUUGAAGUGAAUGACAUGACAUGGAUUCUAUUGCACAAAAUUUUCAACUCUGCAGUUAUAGAAGCAGAGGGGUAUGAGAAUAUGAUUUGCAUCGAAAAGGAUUGUAAAUCAUGUUAAACAAGUGAGGCAGUUAAGACUUAGAGAAUGGAAGUGUACAAGAUCCGAAAUGCUCGAACAAAAAAGGUGCACCAAAGAAACUCCGAAGAAAAAGCUACCUGGAAUCGAAUUCCAAUAAAACACAAGUACUUUGCAAUUUAUUUUGUUUUGUAAGAAAGUGCAUAGUAGCAAUAAUUUUUUUGUCUGUUAAGCAGUCCCGUCCAACUUCAGCCAGGUGGAGGAGACCUAAGGCAGGCCCAAGUAAACUGGCAGAAGUCGAAUUUGUCUCAUACUACAUGUAGGCACCAGUCUCAUAUUCACAACUUCUGAUGGGUGUUGGCGAAAGUCAUACAUUUACACAACAACAAACGUCUCCCAAUUUCAUCUCAUUGCCUUGACAAAUGAUAUGUUGUAUGGUCUAGCUGGAAAUACAAUGCCUAAUUACUAUCGAAAUGUACCUCACCAACAUGGCACGGACUUCUGAUGUUGGAUAAAGAGAAUUGAUGGACAAAUAUUCGCAAGCUAAUUACGAGUUGGAGAUAGGUUGGUCAUGUAAAUAAUGUAGAUUACAUUCCUUUGGCUAAAAUAUGUGGGAAUUGACUUCAUUUUAGGCAUUCAUCUAUUUUUUUCCUACCACUGCAAUAGCAUAUCUAUUUCACACACAAGAAAUGAUAUGUAGGCAUUCAUCUAUUUUUUUUCCUAGUACUGCAAUAGCAUAUCUAUUUUUCCUAGUAAUUCUAGUGUUUUUUGACUUUAGUGUUAAUUGGUGUUUUGCGGUUGUGGGUGCCUUGUGUUUUGUCGUGAAAGUCAUAACCUUUAUUUAAUAUCCAUUUGCCGGAUUAUAGAAGACCAAGUUGCAAUGCUCAGAAGUCUAGUUGAAACAUUUGUCAAUUGCAUUUCAAGAAGUCCAGUUGCAACAUUUGAAUCUCAUUUCCCAUCAGUCCAAUUGCAUUUGUCGCCAGAAUGCAAUUAUAUAAAUGCCUUUUGUACUUGAUAUCAUGUGAAAUAUUUAGAUUAUGGUAGUGUUUAACCAAUGGUAUGUUGACCCAGGUAUACUAUGUUAAAAUUAG